CGGAAGUGGUUCCCGCCGCAGAUCCCGGAAGUGACGCAGUAGCAACCCGCGGGUCCAGCUCCUCCCGCGUUGCUAGGGCUCCGGCCUUUGUCCCAACUCGGGGGCUUUGAGCGGGAGGGGCCUGGGGCUGCGGGAACAGACCUCCCCGGAGUUUCAAAGCCCCUUUGUGUCAGAGCCCAUUUCAGCAGACGAUGGCUCCAGCAGUAUUGCCACCCCAGAAGCUCUUCUGCCCAUGGCUGCUUUGACCAGCAGCAUACUGUGGAAGGAACUGUGUCAGCCUCAGGCAUGGCACUCGCCUGGCCUGGAAGUCAGCCACGUAAGAAGGGUGAGCAGCCUGAGAUCAGUGAGCUGUGAGAAGUCCAAACCACACGGAGGAAGGGAAUCCAAGGAACAUCAGACACCAGAUCAGGGAAUGAAGAAGCCAUCUGGGAGAGGUGGAGCGAUGGACAGAUCUGAGAUAAAGCAAUGAUGGGAAAAUGUUAAGUGUACCAUCUAGGUGGUUCAGCUCUGGUGUGAAACCAAGAAUGCUGAGUGAGGCAGAUCCGGAUAAAUCCAAGACGCAGGACCAAAACAAGGGUCCGCUUUCCUUAGGUGAUCUGGACAUCUUCCUCAUGCCAGAAAGGCCAAGGACAUGUUUCUCUCAGAGGCAGCAGAGCCCAAAUAGCAGUGGAGAUUCAUCACAUCCCAGACUCUUUCUCUGGGCCUCCAAGAGCCUUGUAGCAGGUAACCAACUUUGACAAGACCUGUUCUUCUCUUGCUUUCUACAAGGUAUGAACUCAGGACUGGAUUCUACUCUCAGAGGUCUAGAAACACAAGGUGCCUGAGUCCUAUUCCUGUGCUCUAGGAUUUUCCAGGAGCCAGUCUACUACAAGGAGGAGAGGUUCACAUUCCAAUGCUGGGCUCAUUAGAGAGGUCAGCAAACAGAAUAUCCAUCAGAAGAGAAAUUACAUGUGAACAUCAACGUGCAUAUCCCAGAAAAAAACAGACACUCUCACUUGGUCUUGAGACCCAAGAUCUCCCACAGUCCUGAAACCUGAAAAGUUUUAUUCAGCAGACAUUCAUUGAGUACCAACUGCAUGUCAGGUAAACACUGGGGACAAGAUCUUGGGCUCUGGUAGGGGAGAGAGACAUAGACACAAACUAAUACAAUAGGAUAUUUUGAGUCCUACAAAGGAGAGCUCAUCAGAGAAGUUCUAAAAAGGAGAAGCAUCAGACCUUUGACAAUCACCAAAGGCAUCCCAGAGUAAGUGGCAUUCACUCUCCAGAAGGAGAUUACAACAGAAGCAAAGACCUAGGCCAGGGCUUGCACUUCCAAUUCCCCACAAGGAGUGAGUCCAGAACUUCAUCUCUCUGAAAUGCUUCAUAGAAGCAGCACAAACUUCACAUGCAUCUAGCAUCUGGAUGAUAUUAAUUACCUCCGUGUUUAUUAAGUGCCCCAUUAAACUUGACUCUAACCAACAGCACAGUUGGCUCCCCGGGUUAAAUCCACACUAAAUAUUCAAUUACACACAGCACAAGCAGAAUCGUAUUUGGCAGGGAUUAGCUCACUUGUCCUGUGAAGGCACUUUUCCAGCUGAAUAAUAAUGGUGUCUUUUAAUUGUGUGGUAUCUUCCUCUUGAGGGACUUUAAGCCAGAACAUCUCCUCAGAGGGAGACAGAAACUGGGUGUCAUCAUAUCCAUUUUGUAGUUGGAUGAACUCAGUAAAGAGAUCUGGCACUCGCCACAGAAGCUGGAAUCUUAUUUCUCUUUCAGUGCUCAGCUCAAAUGCCCUCCUCUUUGAAGAUUUUUCAGUUCCCUCAUCACAAUUUCCUUGCAGUGCAUGACGCUGAAAGAAGCUGAGAGAAACGGCAGAGCCCUCCCUUGUGUACAGGGCCCUGUGAUGGAUGCUUGGCCUGCAUUCACUCACUCCAUCCUCCUUCCCCGCAGCACACCCCCCCACCUCCACCCCCAAGGGAGAGUUUCCACUUCACAGCUGAGAAAACUGAGAGAGAAGUUGAGAGAUGGGUCUUGGUUUGCACAAUUAAUAACUAUAAGGGUCAGGAUUCAAACCCAGGCCUCUGAGCCCAGUGUCUUAACCACGCACAAUCCUGGCCCAUUUGUUCUUUCAUUCAACAAGGAUUUAUUGAGCACCUAAUGUGUACCCGGGGCUUGCUAGGAGUAUAGUACUUGCUAGGGGUCCAGGAGUGAGGAAAACAUCGCCCUUGUCCUAACAGAGAUUAUCAUCUAAGCAGGGAAGACAGAUUUAAAAUCCUUCAACAAACAGUUAUUUAAUUACACAUCAAUCAUCUGGCAAUGUUAGCAGAAUGUAAGUCAACUGGAAAGACACUUAGCAGGGCAAGAAAACAGGUGCCUAGAUGGGUUCUUCUUUUCUGUAAUUCAGGAGUCAAUCAACUCUUCCUUUUUUACUUUGAUUCUGUAGCUGAGCAAUGCCUACAGAUGCCCACAAUUGCUUUGGUAAUAUCUACAAAUCACUUCCUUUUCUGAAUCAUGGCUUUCCCAGCUGUAAAAUGGGAAUGAAAAUAACAAACCACUGGAAACAACCCAAAUACCCAUCAACAGGAGACUGUUUACAUAAAUGAUAGUACAUUUACACCAUGGAAUAUACAGUUAUUAAAAAGCAUGAGACAACUGGAAAUGCUAGGG